GCAAAUUACCCACUCCCGGCACGGGGAGGUAGUGACRAAAAAUAACGAUACGGGACUCAUCCGAGGCCCCGUAAUCGGAAUGAGCACACUUUAAAUCCUUUAACRAGUAUCCAUUGGAGGGCAAGUCUGGUGCCAGCAGCCGCGGUAAUUCCAGCUCCAAUAGCGUAUAUUAAAGUUGUUGCGGUUAAAAAGCUCGUAGUCGGACUUGUGUCACACGCUGCCGGUUCACCGCCCGUCGGUGUCUAACUGGCAUGCACGUGCUGACGUCCUGCCGGUGGCCCGAGCCGGUCCGGGAGCUCUGGGUGCGGGAUUCCCUUCGGGGGCCCGCCUCGAACCCGGUGUCCGGGGAGGGCCUACUCAUACCCCUCGCGGUGCUCUUAACCGAGUGUCUCGAUGGGCCGGCACGUUUACUUUGAACAAAUUAGAG
rnacentral:rRNA from 1 species